rnacentral:rRNA from 1 species
AUUGAACGCUGGCGGCAUGCCUUACACAUGCAAGUCGAACGGCAGCACGGGUGCUUGCACCUGGUGGCGAGUGGCGAACGGGUGAGUAAUACAUUGGAACGUACCUUAUCGUGGGGGAUAACGCAGCGAAAGCUGUGCUAAUACCGCAUACGCCCUGAGGGGGAAAGCGGGGGAUCGCAAGACCUCGCGCGAUUAGAGCGGCCGAUGCCUGAUUGGCUAGUUGGUGGGGUAAAAGCCCACCAAGGCGACGAUCAGUAGCUGGUCUGAGAGGACGAUCAGCCACACUGGGACUGAGACACGGCCCAGACUCCUACGGGAGGCAGCAGUGGGGAAUUUUGGACAAUGGGGGCAACCCUGAUCCAGCAAUGCCGCGUGAGUGAAGAAGGCCUUCGGGUUGUAAAGCUCUUUUGUCAGGGAAGAAACACCGGCUCUAACACAGUCCGGGAAUGACGGUACCUGAAGAAUAAGCACCGGCUAACUACGUGCCAGCCGCCGCCGUAA